CGCGCCGCCACCUGACGUCAGGCGCGCCUGGCAUAAUUUAUGCAAGAAUUCGGCCCGGGUGUGGAGACCGAGGGAGAGGCCGAGAGAAAGGGGGCGGCGCGGGGCUGCGGGGCCGCUGGCCGCGAGGGCGGGCGGGGCGCCACUUCCCGUCCCCGGGCGGGCGCCGGCGCUGCAGGCGGCUCUCCCCGCGGGCCGGUGCGCGGCCGCCGCGCCGCCUUCCCGACCCGGCUCGCUGGAGCGCUCGGCCGCCGCGCGGCAGCGCCCGGGACGCGGGCUGGAGACGGUGCCACGUUUCCCCAAGCGGCACCUUUCCGGGGUCCGGGUGCGCCGCCCGCGGGCAGGAAGCGGCGGCCUGGCCGGCGGCGGUCCUCCCGGCCGCGGCGAGGGGCUUCCGAGGCUGCGCGGACGGACGGCCCCGGCUCGAGGGGUUAGGACGUCCUUUCUGCAAUUAUCCGUCAACUUGGAACGAUUUUCCCACCUGAAAUUAUUUAGAAUGGGCACGUUCCAUUUCAGAUAGAUUUCUCCUGCCUCUCCACGUUGCUUGUCUUAACCUACUCGUUGACAGGACCGCCGGACCCACCACUAAAUCAAAAAGUUUAACUAGAUGGCGUUGAUUUUGUUGAAUUUGUUGCCAUGCCAAAAAAGGGAGAGGGAGCGCGAUGGUUAUGAAACAAAGAAAUAGGUUGUGUGACCAUUUUUAAACAUGUCAGGACUAGAGUGUUUUAAUCAUUCUUUGGCCAAAAUGGCACUUUUGUAUGAUCUCCUAGCCUCAAUUACCCAAGCCUCUUAUUCUAUUUCCCUUCUCGGUACAAAAUUAAUAUGAAACCUGGAGAAAUUUCUCUUUUACCAAUUUUCCUUUUAGGAACUGGAUCUAACAAACAUUUAUCAAGCACCUUUUAUGUGUAGAUACCAAGCAGUUAUAAUUCUUUUAAACCGUCAACUGUUGUACACUCUAAGGUGAUUUUAUUAGGUAAAAGAUUACGUUUAUUUUUAAAUCAAGGAAGGAACGUAGAUCAACCAAACAUAGACCUAUAAUAGAUACAGAGGAAAGCGAAUUGCUCUUAUUGGACUCCAAAAUAAACUCAGAAAAUUGCAAAACUAUGCAAAAUAUAAUUUCUCCUCAUUCAGCGCCUGUAGUGCUAAGCCUAUCACGAUACUUCUAGUUGAACCAAAGAUUAAUCAAAACUAUUUUGUUAUAUUACUACUACAACUCUUCAAUACCUAAGUUUGAUUAUCCUAGACUUAAUCACUAAAACAUUCAUUUCCUAACAUGAGCAAUGAUUUUCUAAAUAUUUGUUACAUUUUACUGUCAUUGAUUGAAAUGCCGUGGUUUGGGCUUUCUUUCAUCAUAUAUUUGAAUGGUCUUUUGAAAGAGGUAAAUAUUUCAUUCAAGGGAUUUACAAAUAAACAGCAGAAAGAAGGUUGACACUACAGAAAAUUCUGACGUUAAGAAAACAGGAAACACUAAAAUCAACUUCUACCUUUUUUAUAGUCCAUUUCAUAAACCAAGAAUCAGAAUUCCGAGGUUAGGUUUACAUUUCCAUUAAGUUUAUGUGUCUCAGUGAAAGCACGUUGGGGAUGCUUUGGGGUGUGCUGGGUGCAUAGGGGUUAAAGACAGGACACAUGUCUGCAAAGAAAUCACUAGCAACAGAUCAUAUUAGAGCCCAUAAAAGUGGCAUAAAAGGGAUUAUCUCUAUCCUUUACAAUAUACCCCGCUCAUUGUCAGAUGUGCAUAUAUUUCAAGUCAAUUUACGAGCUUAAAAAAAAAAUGACAUCUACAUAAAGUGAAAAUAUAUUAGUUAACCUUUAAUUAACAAAUAGUAUUGAGUUUGAGGAGGUCCCCCUGUGCCCUUGUCUGUUUAACUAGAAAGUGAGGACACCUCCCUUUGAAACAUAUGAGAAAUGGUAAAAUAGUACAGCCAAAGCUCAAGGUGGAAAUCAACAGCCCUGCAGCCCCUCCCUGGUUUAAUCUCCCUCCUCGUCCCAUCACGGGUCCGACAGGAUGGAGGAGUCUCUAAGCUUUCAAAAGUGGUAACGGUGCAGAGCUAGAGGGGCCUUGGAAAGCGGAAGGCCUCAGGGGCAAACUCCUAGGCGGCUCUGGCCUGCUGGAGUCAUAACUCCCCUCCCCCUGCCCCUCCCCCCUCCCUACCCUUUAGCCUCCAAUGUUUUCUCUCCAUUUGCUUCACUAUUGAAGUUUUCCCAUUGAGAAUAAUUUGAAUUCACAAGCUUUCCCUUUGAGUAUGCAAAUUCCUUAGGGAGAGAUAAGGGACUCCUGGUCGUUCACAGAUGAGUGUAAAUUAGUUCAAUGGGUUGUUUUCCUCCCAACACAUAGCUGGGACUAACAAAUUUAGAGAUUUAUUCAUUCAUUCAACAUUGAGUGUCUAAGAAGUUCCAGGCCUUGUUCUAGGUGCUGGAGAUACAGUAAUGAACAAAACAGAACAAUGUUUCUGCCCUCUUGGAGUGUACAGCCUAAUCGGCUGGUAGUUUUGAUUUAGUGCUGAGAGAAAAUGGUAACUUUGGAGUCUGAGCCCUUGGGGAAUAGGACAGGCUUGAGUUCAUUGUAGCCAGAGGGCAGUGGAAAGGUACAAGGGGCCUGGAGGUGGGCCUAGGAGUGGGUGCCCCCAGAAAGCUGUUGAGAAAAAUUCCAGAGACAACUUGGCCUGUUACAAAAAAGGUUUUCUAGGCCCCAUGAAAUGAAUGAAAACAGUCUCCUCCAAGAACUCAGACUAAUGCUAACUGACCUGUAAUUUGGCUGCAUUACUGCUUAGACAAAUAAAUAUUUGUCUCUGUUUGGAAACAUAGUCAUAAUGUAUCAACCUCUAAUACCCAAACUUCAGAACACCCUCAGUUUAAAACUAUCUGCUUUUCCCUAUCUGCUCUUCCAAAUCAUUAAAAUCAGCUUACACAAAUCAAUUACACUAAUUCCAGUGUUGAGGACUUACUUGAUGCAUUUUUGGAACUCAUCUUUUGAAACUGUGUUCAGAACCAAUUUGCAAGUCAUAGAAAAUAACUCUCUUUAGUGCCCAAUUUCUUUUUUUCCACUAAAAACUAUAUUAUUCUACUUUAUCGUUUACCAAAUUUGUGUCCAAAUGAUUUUGGCAAGCUCCAGACAGUAUAUUUUGCCUUUAAAUGAUGAAGAUGGACUGUCAUUGAAAAUAUAUAGAAUUUAAAUAGUAUACAUGAUAGCUAUUCACAAAGUUUUAAAAAUUUGACUUGUAAUAAAUUCUGAGUAAAGUAUUUUUAAUCCAUAAAAUUAAGAAAAAGAAAGAAAAGAUAGAGAAAAAUAAAACUAUAGUUAUUCAGAGGGCUAUAAAUGCUGAAGAAAGCACCAAAAAGAGAAAUCUGAAAGGCAUUUCCUGCAUCACUGGAAGGACAGCAUAACCUUCCUGGGCGAUGUUUUCAUGGGGGAAAGAAUCCGGCUGGAUAUGGAAGUUCAGCCUCCAUAUUCCACUGGUAAUGGACCCGGUUGCUACUGCCUUUGCAGGCAACUGUCCAGACUGGAAAGGUGAAGAUAACAGGUGAAAAGAAAGCCCCUAGGGCUACGGUCAGGCCACUGCUGGCUCCCAAAGACAGCAUGGUUAGCUAAGUUUUAGCAAACAUUGAUUGAAUGCCUACUACGUGGCUGACUCUCUCUUAGCCUUGGAGGACACAGUUAGCUCCCUGUUCACACGGAGCUCGUGCUUGGUGGCAGCAUAAAGAAGGGAGUGAUUCUUGCUGCCGGGACAGCAGAGCAGCCUUCCUAGAAGAAGGGAGGCUUGAGGAUUUCCUCAGAACAAAGAGAGCAGGACAGAUGACCAUGAGGUCCAGUUGUUUCAAAGCCUAGUGAGCACGGGUCAUUGCAAGUGGUUCCAUACUGAGUGGAACAUGGAGGGCGGUUCCUGCUCAGUCUUCUCUGACUGACCCCCCCAGGGUGGGUUGGCUGUCCUCUCGUUCACCCAUCUCCAUCAAUACUGGUUUACAUUAAAUUAUAAUUCAUUCCUGGGACUUCCCUGCCAGUAAUUAAGACUCCGUGCUUCAAAUGCAGGGGGCGUGGGUUUGAUCCCUGGUCGGGGAACUAUGAUCCCACAUGCUGCACAGCACGGCCUAAAUAAAUAAAUCAUUCAUUCAUUCAUUCCUGUCUUAUCUUCUCACUGGGUUGUGAGCUACUUGGGGGCAAUGGCUAUACUUUGUCCUUUGGCAUCCCCAGGUGGCCCAGAGCCCUCGCACAAGUGGCAGGGUGGGGAGGUAGUAGAUUAGACUGGAGAAGUAGAUAAGGCCAAGGAGACGUCUUGACUGUGCCCCAAAGGUGCUGGGGGCUCAUUGAAGAGUUCAGCAAGAGAGUCACAAAUCAGAUCCUUACUUUGAAAGAUCUCUGUGAUGGGGCAGACUGUGGGAAACGAGAAGCAGGGAGAGAAGAGAGGAGACACUCAUGAGGCAAGAGAAGGGGAGAAAUAAAAGAAAUUACCCACAUCUUGUAUUCUUAUUAUUGUUCAGACUCAAGACAUUCCAGGCAAAGCAGCGCUGCAAGACCACUUCGCCCUGUGGUGGAGGAAGGGGGCGCUCUGUCUGGAAGGAGCACUGUUGGGGGCCAUGGGGACAGUGGUUCCAACAUGACCCUGCCGCCCACCUGGAACGAAGCAUUUGCUUCUUCUCCCCUCAGUUACUGGCUCCAACUUCCGUGACUUACCACCAGACUUAUCCUAAGUCAUGUCGAGCAACACCUAAACUCUCUCAUCUCUAUUUCUAGACUGACAAAUGGAAUUCAUGGUGCUAACUUAGACAAUUAUAAGAUACUUUUACAAAACAUUAAAAGUGGGGAAAUACAGUGUUUUAUUCAUUCAAUAGUUAUUGAGCACUUGCUGUGCAUCACACACUGUGCUGGGUGCUAUGAAAAUAAAAAUAAAGCCACCCCUGCCCUGGAGGAGCUCUCUGAAUCUAUUAGGGGUGACAGACAUUUAAGCCUGUCAGUACAAUUAAAAUGUGUACAAUCGUGGUACUAUUGGGUACCUGGUUGCUCAGAAGAAGAGGCGCCUCAUUUUGCUUCUGCCCAGAGAGGCAGGGGAGGCUUCACAGAGGAUAUGACAUUUAAUCUGAGUCUUCAAGGACUCUGCAGAUGGCAGGGGUGGGGAGGUACACCAGGCAGGAAAACUGUCUGAGACAUCCAUGGGGCAGAUGGCUAGUGUCGGCGCUGCAAGUAAUUUGGCUCGGAGCACGGCGUACACAGGGAAAGGGCGGAAAAUGAGAAUGGAAAUAAAAGUAGGGCCAGGUCAGAAAGGGUUUAGUAGCAUAUUAAGAAAUCUUUCCCUUAUUCCGUAGGUGAUUGUCAGCAGGAAAAUGAUCAGGACAAAGAUGGAUGUCCUGGCCAAAUCUCAGAGCAGGGAGGCAAUGAGUAGACGUUGGUGAUAGUCAAAGUACAACGUGAUGAGGCCCUUGACCAGGGCAGCAUUCAAGGUGAUGGAGAUAAAGCAAUAAAUGUGAGAGACAUUUAGGUGACAUACUUGAUAAGAUUUGGUGAAUGACUGAUUGUCGAUAAGUGGAUGAAAGGGAGGAGAUGAAGAUUCACUUCUAAGUUCCCUCCUUGAGUGACUGGUAAGUAGAUGCAUCAUUAUCCAAGGUAAGGAAUAAGCGGAACGUAGUUUGUGGAAGAACGACACAGUGCUUUGCUGUGCGAAUUAGAGGUGCUCUGUGGAAUAUUUAAAUGGGGAUGUCCAUUAAGUAAGAGAUGGGAACUUAGAAGACUGAUCUGGUUUAGAAAUGUAGGUGUAAGAAUUAUGAGGUAUGAAUGGUACUUAAAUCCACUGGAAUGGAUGUUUGGGAAAAUAUGCAACAUUGGAGGAGAGCAGGAUGACAACAGGAAUCUUUAAAAUACCAGGUUUUCUCGGUUGUUUAUCAUUGUAUAUCAAACCACCCCAGACCUUAGUGGCUUAAAACAAAAAGGUAUUAUUUAUGUGAUGGGUUAUCUGGAGUUGGGCUCAGCUGGAAAAACCUGGGGUAGUUGACAUUCUCUCUCUCUCUCUCUCUCUCUCUCUCCCUCUCUUCACUUGGUCUUUCAUCUUUUUUCUUUUUUUUCUUUCAUCUUAGUCAUCCAGAAAACAAGGAAGUUCCUGAGGAGUGUCCCAAGAAGGCAAACCCCACUACACAAGCCUUAUCGAGCCUCUGCUGACUUCAUGUUUGCUGACGUUCCACUGGCCGAAGCGAGUCACAUGGUGCAGCCCAGGCUCAACGCCAAGGGAGCCCAGUGGAGUGAUUCACUGGGACCAUUACUUAUCCAUGUAAAACACAUGUUACAAGAUGGGCAGAAAAAAUAUUUAAGGGAGACAUCAAAAGAGAAGCCAUUGGAGAAAACGUAUGAAGAUUUGUCUGAAAGAAAGAGUAAGACAUCAAGGAAGCAGAGUUUCUAGAAGGGAAGGGGCAAUAGUGCCAAGUGUCACAGAGAGAACAGUGGUUAAUCAUCUACUGAAAUUGAAAUGCUCAUGAAUGGCCAAGAGAUUUGAGGCAAGGGUUUAACUUUUGGAACAGUCUCCACGGGGAAGAAAGAAGCUGUGAAAAGAAAGUAAAAGGACCCUCCCUGAGUCCUGAGAGUCCUUGAGUCCUGAGCUGAGACUGCAGAGGCACCAACUUGUUAUGCAACUUUCUUACGUGAUGUUCCACCCUGGGGAAAAGGAGUAUGAAUGGAGAAUUUCGAGGUUCACUAGUCGUUGUUGUCUGUGGAGACACAGACCCAGGCCACAUAACGAGCAGGGUUCCCAGGGACCAGAUGAGGAAUCUGAGGCUUGAGAGGUUGCCCUGCUGUGAAUGACAAAGGUGGGAUCAACCCCAAAGAGAAAUCCAACAACUGCGAAAAGAUGCCUUGCCUUUGUCACGAUCUGCUGUGAACUGAACUCCUUUACAUCCAAUUGUGUACACUCUCCUCUGCUCUAAAGGGAGAAAAGUCACAUUUGACAGAAAAGUCUGCACCCUGAUUUUUACAAGAUCUUCUUUAGGCUGCAGCUCUGGAUAAGACGGACUUGCGAAUGAUGCAACCAAUUAUGACGAAUGCCUUCUCCUGGGUGGAAACACAAGCUACUCUCUGCUCACUGCUCCACAGAGAAAUACGGUAGUCAUGUGACCCCCGCCCAUCCAGUACAGCCCUCAGAUUUGUGAGAAGUUGGUUCAGGACCAGCACCUAGUACAGUGCCUGACAUAGAGGAGGCACGUGACAACUGUUUACGGAAUGAGUGUUGCAUUUAAGGUACUAGGAUGGACGGAUACAGAAAGGCAGGAAUCAUUAAAAAAAAAAAAAAAAUUCUGUGUACUUGAAUCUGAAAGGAGAAACAUUCUUAAUUUUAUCUUAAUUUGUAAUUUAACAGAGUUAACUUCCUCCAAAGUAAUUACUUGUUAAUAUGUUUCUAAUGUGUUUCUAAUGUGACGGAGCUGCUGUAUUGGGACUUUUCAUUUAGAAAGCUAGCAAGACUCUGUGUUAACCGUCUCCUAAGCGCCCCUCUCAGCAGUUUCUCUGGAUGUCAUUCCACAUGCUGACUUCAGUUCCCAGGCAGAGCUUCCUGGGAUCGAAAUGGCAGGAGCUGAGUGGACCCAAGGCUGCACACCACCCACCGGGUCCCUGUCCUCCCAGGGCUGUUGUAGGGCCCUCACAAGCCACUGCCCUUGAGUCACUCCUAAGUCACCUGGGUUGAAAGUCACAGAAGUAUGGCUACAUGUGUUUCACCAACAGCCUACUUCUUUUUUUUUUUUUUUUUUUUUUGCGGUACGCGGGCCUCUCACUGUUGUGGCCUCUCCCGUUGCGGAGCACAGGCUCCGGACGCGCAGGCUCAGCGGCCAUGGCUCAUGGGCCCAGCCGCUCUGCGGCAUGUGGGAUCUUCCCGGACCGGGGCACGAACCCGUGUCCCCUGCAACGGCAGGCGGACUCUCAACCACUACGCCACCAGGGAAGCCCCAGCCUACUUCUUUAUUGCCUCUCUCAGGAAAAGAAAAUGUAAUAUCAGCAGACCUCUCCCACCAGGGGUCAGAUAGUCCACGUGAGCUCAGAGCGGGUACAGAUCAAGGCAGCGGAACAAAAAUGACUACGUUGGGGAAGCAAUACCACGUUCUACAAUAAUAUACAUUUCCCUUGCCUCAUAUCUUUUAUAAAUAGUGGUAAAAUAUAUAUCAUAUCAUUUGAACCAGUUUUAAGUGUGCAAGCCAGGGGCAUUAAGUACAUUCACAAUGUUAUGCAGCUAUCAGCUCCAUCCAUCUCUAGAACCUUUUCAUCACCCCAAACAGAAACUCUGUCCCCACUAAACAUUAACUCCCCAUUCUCCCCUUCCUGGUAACUUCCAUUCCACCCUCUGUCCCCAUCAACUGGCCAAGUCCAGGUGCCUCAUGUAAGUGGACUUAUAUCUGUCCUUUUGUGUCUGGCUUACUUCACUUAGCACAAUGUUUUCAAAGUUCAUCCCUGUUGUAGCUUGUGUUAGAAUUUCCUUGCUUUUUAAGACUGAAUAAUAUUGCAUUGUAUAUAUAGACACACUUUUUUAAAAUUUUAUUUUAUUUUUUUAUACAGCAGGUUCUUAUUAGUUGUCUAUUUUAUACAUAUUAGUGUAUACAUGUCAAUCCCAAUCUCCCAAUUCAUCCCACCACUGCCGCCCCCCACCCUGCCAUUUUCCCCCCUUGGUGUCCAUACGUUUGUUCUCUACAUCUGAGUCUCUAUUUCUGCCCUGCAAACCGGUUCAUCUGUACCAUCUUUCUAGGUUCCACAUAUAUGCGUUAAUAUAUGAUAUUUGUUUUUCUCUUUCUGACUUGCUUCACUCUGCAUGACAGUCUCUAGAUUCAUCCACGUCUCUACAAAUGACCCAACUGCGUUCCUUUUUAUGGCUGAGUAAUAUUCCAUUGUAUAUAUGUGCCACAUCUUCUUUAACCAUUCUUCUGUCAAUGGGCAUCUAGGUUGCUUCCAUGACCUGGCUAUUGUAAACAGUGCUGCAGUGAACAUUGGGGUGCAUGUUAGACACACUUUCUUUAUCCAUUCCUCUGUCGAUGGAAACUUGGACUGUUUCCACCUUGUAGCUGUUAUGCAUAACGCAUCUAUGAAGAUGGGCGUAGCCUCAUCUUUUUUUAAGACAAAGACCCCUCCAGCGGAGGUCCUGGCACUUUGUAACUCCUCCUUGCCUGAGAGCGCUUCAAGCCAGUUCCUUCGCCCACUGCCUGGUGAAGGCCUCACCCGCCAUGAGCAGAACAGAGACUGGCUCCCAAGUGCACUGCCGCGCUCUCUCCUUGGGGUGCUUCUCUUGGUCCUGCAGAUUCCCUGCUCCUGACUCUGGACGUGGGGCCUUGGCAGGAUCCAGUGCCUCCCUGGAAGCCCCGCCACAGGCUCAGGCCCCCUCAGCCCCAUCUUCAUCAGCUGAGACCUAGUAUAUCUCAAGGUCAAGCCUAAACCAUGGCAAGUGCCAGUGAAAGAUGGACGUGGUUGAGUGGUCAGUGCUAUAAGACUUUCCCAAGUUACUCCUAAAACAUUUGUAUAAAAUAGAAUUACUUUCUGCUUGACUAUUUACUGAUAAAAGUUGACAAUCAGUUAUUUAUUAAGUUUUUCCUGUGUGGACGGUACCAUACUCUGGAUCUGUGGAGGACUAUACUAAUGUGGUUAUGUCCCUUCCAUCGCCCUCUGAAAAAGUACAUUUAAUCAGAGAAGUAUGGGCCAUGAUGGCGUAACUAAUCAAAUAAAUUAGGGUUUAUCUUUACUAUAGAAGCUGCACAGGUAUUAGAAAGAAUGAGGUAGAUAUGUAUGUACCGAUGUGCUAUAAUCUCCAAGCUAUAUUGUUGUAUGAAAAAAAAAAGUCUAGGGACCUCCCUGGCCGUCCAGUGGUUAAGACUCUGCACUUCCACUGCAGUGGCCGAGGGUUCGAUCCCUGGUCAGGG